UACGGGGGGGGCAAGCGUUGUUCGGAAUUACUGGGCGUAAAGGGCUUGUAGGUGGCCAACUAAGUCAGACGUGAAAUCCCUCGGCUUAACCGGGGAACUGCGUCUGAUACUGGAUGGCUUGGAUUUGGGAGAGGGAUGCGGAAUUCCAGGUGUAGCGGUGAAAUGCGUAGAUAUCUGGAGGAACACCGGUGGCGAAGGCGGCAUCCUGGACCAAUAUUGACGCUGAGGAGCGAAAGCCAGGGGAGCAAACGGG
rnacentral:rRNA from 1 species